GAUGAAGAACGCAGCGAAAUGCGAUACGUAAUGUGAAUUGCAGAAUUCAGUGAAUCAUCGAGUCUUUGAACGCACAUUGCGCCCCCUGGUAUUCCGGGGGGCAUGCCUGUCCGAGCGUCAUUGCUGCCCUCAAGCACGGCUUGUGUGUUGGGCCUCCGUCCUCCUCCCGGGGGACGGGCCCGAAAGGCAGCGGCGGCACCGCGUCCGGUCCUCGAGCGUAUGGGGCUUCGUCACCCGCUCUUGUAGGCCCGGCCGGCGCUUGCCGACACAUCAAUCUUUUUUCCAGGUUGACCUCGGAUCAGGUAGGGAUACCCGCUGAACUUAAGCAUAUCAAUAAGGGA
rnacentral:misc_RNA from 1 species